UUUAAAUUUUGGUGAAUUGUUGGAUGUUCUCUAAAUUCAAUGUAAUUACAUCGUAAGUUUCUCUUGUGUGAAUAAUUACCCGAAAAUGGAUAUUUACAGCUUAUAAAAUCACCUCAUUUGUGUUGCUGAAAAGCCAAGCGAGAUAGGAAAAAAGGUAAUAUGCUGUUUACCAUUAUCGACGUCUACUUCCACAUGAUCCUAUUUGCUACUUACAACUACUUUUUGUUAUUGACAGAAAUUAUUAGAGGCACGAUGCUCGCCUAGAUACUUUCAUGAUAUGAUGAGUCAUCUUACCAAAAACCACGCAGAUGCGAAGCUGGCGGAGAUAAAGGCAAUUGGCUUUGGAUUCUUGAAACAUAUUCCAUAUUGGGCGGUGAAGUAAGACAUUAUAGUUCAUCUAGCUCAAUCCUACAAUUUUAGAACAAGAACCUUGAUAGUAUAUCUUAGCAACAUCCGCCUCAACGCUGAGUUAAUUGGGUGAGUUUUCGACAUUCCUUCUUCCGGUGAUGGAUUUCCAUCUCUGGACGAUAGGAAUCCAGCACAUGUGGCCAUCAAAAGGCAGUUUCAGAGACGAACAACCACUGAAAUCUACGAUUUUGUUUACAACUACGCUAUGGAAACGGAAUCAGACAAGAUGGAGUAUAGAAGACAUUUCAUACUAGUGGUCCUAAAAUUGUUCUUGUGUCCAACAACACAACAGGUAAUUUCGCCAUGACACAUUUACCUCGUCUUUGAUGUUUCUGAUCCAAGAAAAUUCAAUUGGCCGUCACAUACUUUAAAGUGGUUGGACAUGGCAGUCGAGAAAUAUAAGCUUAAAACGAACAAAACCUGUGAUAGCUGCAUGUUCGUCAGGCUGGUACUGUACUUUUAGCGGCUGAAACACGGUGCGUUGGAUAACUGUCAUGAGCCGUAGCCAUGGAUCGCUGCAUGGACUGCCAAAAAACUAGAAAAGAAUGCGACAUAUAUCCUUUCUGAGGUACUCACUUAUGCGAGUGUUUCUUUAUGUUGAAUUGUGAAACUCUCUGUCAAUAUCAAUAACAUGAUUCCGAUAUUUAACAUGUUUUGCCAUAUGCAUCUUAUGAAUGGAUGUUAAUAUAACUGACAUUUGAGAAAGGUUUUCUCCAGAUAAUUUGAUUUUGAUGCUGGGGUUGGUAAUAGUUGUUUUGUCUUCAUACUAAAUGGAAAUUUCUUUAAAUAUUUUCCUAGUUUUCUUGUGUUAAACAGUUGUGGAUGUCUCUAUUUCUUUGAGCAUUGCAUGGCCUUUUAUGUAUUUCCUACCCGACAGGUUUCUUUGUGUAGGUAUUGAUUUGUUUAUGCCUAUAUCUACACGGAUGUUGCUUCUGUUAGGUAUCAGCAUGUUUCUUUUUUAUACUAAAUGGAUGUUUCUGUAUAUAUUUUCUGAGAUUUUCUGUGUUAAGUAGUUAUGGAUGUCUCUAUUUCUUUAAGAAGUGAAUGGAUUUUCUUUUCUUAAAUAUUCCUCGGCAGGUUUCUUGGAGUAUGUACUUGAUUGUUUUUGUCAAGAUAUAAGUGGAUUUUCGUUCUGUUAAGCAGCAGC